CCCGGAAAUAAAACCCUAGGGAGCCACCUUAAAAACAUCUUGGCCGCCGGAUCUUCGUAAAUUGUUUGUCUUUGUUCGCGACUCUCAUCCAAUUCCAACUAGAUCGUCUAUUACAGACUUAAAAGUUCCAUCAAUUAAGACUACGCAAGCAAAAUCCAAAAUUUCCUUCAGUGGUGCAAGUUUAUUUAAUUCUUUACCUUCCGAAUUAAAAGAUAUUGAAAAUCAUUCAAUUUAUUCCUAUAAAAAGAAGCUCAAAACCUACUUUAUUCAAUUGAAUUAUGAAGUAGAUCACGUUAAUAAAUUCCGCUGCAUCGAUUGUAAGCAUAUUACUCAUUGUCAAUGUUACUCUCAAUAGGAUUUUCUUUUUAUAUAUUACUAUUAGAUAUCGAGGGCCAUUGGGAAGAAUACUAUAUUAAGUAAUCAGUGUAAUCCCUCAUUAAAUAAAGUUUUAUUAUUAUUAUUAUUAUUAUUACCUCAACUGAUCGACUCGGCCUCUAGCAGGCGUUUAUUUGCUAGCGAGCGCGAGGACGGCGAGAAAAGGUUAGGUCUCAAAAUUCAGUUAAAAUCAGAACAAAAAAAGUCAAUUCACUGCGUGGUGAAGACGGUCUCGUGAUACUUCCAACGGGAUAUGGAAAGAAAGCAAUUGUAAUUUGCCUCGAAAGAACAUACAUGAUGCUAAUAAUAAAUCUUGACGAUGAUUGGAUAACGUGCGAAGUUCUUUCACUGUAAAAGGGCCAAAAACGCUUUUCACAAUGUCAUUAUGGCAGG